rnacentral:lncRNA from 1 species
GUCUGCUACCUCAUGUUUGUGCCUUCCCGCAGGAGUAAAAAUUUGCCUUGUCAAGAACUCCUGUGCCUUGUCUGAGUGCAUUCUUUUGGACACAGAAAAUUUGAGUCUGGGGGCUUAUUUCCAACAGGAAUAUAUGUAAAGUGAGGUCUGUAACUUUCCACGGAGUCAUCUGGAGUGAGAAAGUAAAACAAUGAACAUUCCAAAAGGCACCUUAUAAGUUAUUUACAAUACCCUCCACAGGCAAGAAGUUGUAAGAAUGAUGGACCUCAUUUUUAACAAGAGCAAAUAAGUCAUGUCCAUGUUUUAUGACUUACUCAUGCUACAGAUCAGUAACAACCAAGGAAGCAAAUUGGCAGUCACAUAACUACUUGCAGAUCCUGAAAAUUCCAAACCCAGUGGCAAGCAUAGUAAUAAAUCACUGAGAAUUAAAAACAUUUUUCCUUCAAAUAUUCCCAAAAUGGAAUUUUCCUUAAAUAAAAUCAUUAUUUUCUGAGAGAAAAAUUGGACUGAAGAAAAAAGUUUUGUUUCAGAUAACAGUUUUAUUUCUGUAUGUAUGUUUUUCAAAUUAUCUAUGUAUAUUUUCAUUCAUUUAAAUAGGCAAUGUGUUCACUAAUAAAACGGAAUCGUAAAGCACAAAAUGUAUAUAGUAAACAUGUCUUCACCAUACCCCUUGUCUCCUAUUUUUAUCCAGAGCCAAUCAGUUGCUGGUUUCUUCACUGAUAAGAUGUUUUUUCUAUCUAUACAUACAUUUUCCUUUGUUUGAAGUACUCAAAUACUUUUGAGUUUGAGCUCAAAGGAUCCAGCUGCUAAAAGCAGGGUGACAUAAGAAUAAUAUGUGUAUUCCUUUUCAGAGAAAAUCUUUAAUCUGAGACAGUUAUCUUGCUUUAAAAAAGAAGCAGUUUUUUUCAGCCAGAGCUGGCAGUACAUGCAUGGAACACAUAAAUAUUUAAAGAAACAGCAAAAGCUGUAAAGUAAAAAUAAUGAUAUUGGCUGAACUCACAUACUAUAUCUUAUGUAUAAUAUUAGGUUCUUGUUUCAAAAUUAUUCUGGAAAGUUUUUAUAGAGGCC